rnacentral:rRNA from 1 species
AUCCUACGGGAGGCAGCAGUGGGGAAUAUUGCACAAUGGGCGAAAGCCUGAUGCAGCAACGCCGCGUGAAGGAAGAAGGGCUUCGGCUCGUAAACUUCUAUCAACAGGGACGAAAGAAAUGACGGUACCUGAAUAAGAAGCCCCGGCUAACUACGUGCCAGCAGCCGCGGUAAUACGUAGGGGGCAAGCGUUAUCCGGAUUUACUGGGUGUAAAGGGAGCGUAGACGGCAGGGCAAGUCUGGAGUGAAAGGCAGGGGCCCAACCCCUGGACUGCUCUGGAAACUGUCCGGC